GAGCCAUCAUCUUCCCAAACACUGGGGUGCGUUUAACAUUCGGGUUCUGGAGCUUUAUCCCACGCCCCCUCAAACAAGACCCUGGACCUUGUUCUCUCAAACCCCGUUUCCUAUGCCACGGAUGGGACUGCCUCACCUGAGGUGCACCUCGUGGGAAGGCAGUAAAGAAGGGACCUUUUCUGAUGGGUGCCUUGUUCAGCCGCCAUCAGAGAUGCUUCCAUGCUGCAGCAGAUGGGACAAGUGUAGGCCAGCAGGCUGGUACUACAGAGAGAUGGAGAGACCCUGAAGCACACAGCCCUACAUGGGAUGCCCCCGUCAAAUCUUUCUCUUAACCCCAUGCUUAUACCUGCAACAUCGGUUCAAUAUCUUUAUUAAGCCACAAUUAUACUUGUAAAACAAACAAACAAACAAACAAAAAAAGGUUUGUCAUCCAAAAAGGAAAUCUACCCAUCCCGCGACCUUAUGACUAGCUUCACCCCGUUUAUUUCUCACCCCGCCAAUGUUUACCCUUUACCAAAGGUCCUAGAUUUGAUGGUUAAAUUUGUGUGUCAACUUGACUGGGCGAGAGUGCCCAGAGAUCCAGCUAAAUGUUUUUAGCACUUGUCUCUAAGGGCGUUUCUGGAUAACUUUAACAUCUGAAUUGUAGGUUGAGUAUGGCAUUACUUUCCCUGUGUUGGGACCCAUCCAUUCUGAAGAGGACAGACAGGGAGGAGUCUGUCUCUGCUCGGCUGUUUUCUGAAGAGGACAGACAGGGAGGAGUCCGUCUCUGCUCGGCUGUUUUCUGAAGAGGACAGACAGGGAGGAGUCCGUCUCUGCUCGGCUGUUUUCUGGAGAGGACAGACAGGGAGGAGUCCGUCUCUGCUCAGCUGUUUUCUUACUUUCUGCCUCUUGCCCCCAGACUGGGGCUGAGACGAGAAUUCGUGCUGCAGGAAUCUUUCUGGAAUAGCACCCCAACAUCGAUGAAACUAGAAGAGAGGAAAUGUAUUCGCCAUGCCAUAGAUCCAAGUCAAGAUAGUUCCUGAAAGCCCUUGGUCCUCGCUCAGUUUCCGUUCUUGUGUUAUACUCUCAAACCACAAGGUGGGGUGAACAAGCAAGUGAGAUUUUUACGGAUGCACACCUGGCAGUCAGCCUUCUGUUUUUGAAGGCAUAUAUUAUAGUGUUUGUGGUCAGGUUGCUAAGGGCAACAGCCCAUGGUUUCAGCUGUUUCUCCAGGUCUUUUUGUUCCAGGUAGCAGGUGAAUUCAUGCUUGGAAAUGCACACUACAGCAGCACUUAAAGUAAGUCACGAAAUCACUAGCUAAUAAUUUUUUUUUUCGACAUUAUUCUACUUCACCUGUUCCUGGAUCUCCAAGUUUUAGAACUUGAGGCUGAGUGAAGUAAUCCCCAAAAUAUAAUGUCUAUCAACUCAUCUUCCCCCUCUGCCCCUCCCUCCCUCCCUCCCUUCCUCCGUCCCUCCCUCCCUCUCUCCCUUCUAUCCAUCCAUCUAUUAUCUGUUUUUCCAGUCUCCUCUUGGUUCUGAUACUCAGGAGCACUCACAAGCGAUACAGUUGCCAGUGACUUUAUUUUGCUCAAUGUCUCCAUCUGAUGCUUGAAACACUUGACUGGCACAAUGCAUUUGGCUCUGCAGGCCUGUGAUGUUUAGACUUAGUUGUCAAUGUAACUGUAUCUGAGGUCAACUAAAAGGCAAGACCUUGGGCACUCCCGAGAGGGAAUUUUGUGGAUCAGAUGAUUUGAAGUGAGAAGAACCUACCCUACGUCUUGGUGCCAUUUUCCAGUGGCAGCCUAGAUAGAAGAUGACAGAGGAAGCUUUGCCUUCAUUCUCACCGGCAGGUUCACAUGCUUUGUUCUGUGUAACUUUGUUGACAUUAGGGCCCAGAUUCUAUGGGUUUCCAACACGGACUGAGGACCAGUGGCCCUCCACGCACCCUCUAUUCUUUUCAGUACUAUGCUGGAAUUGCUGGGGCACCCUGCCUUGUGGGUUGAGAAGUUACCAGGUUCUUGUCUUCUCUAGUGUGAGAUCUCCAUCGUUGGACUAUAUCCAAACCACGCAGUGAUGUCCUGCUUCUUAUUCCUUUGAACACAACAAAAAAGAAAAAUAAAAGAGUGUGUCUACAUUUAUUUAAGCGUUAUUGUCAAGAGUACUCCUGGCAAAGAAAUGCUGGCUAAGAGUUGAAGAAACGUGAACCAUGUAGAACAGAAGAUUCCCCGAGACUGUAAAAUCAGAUGACUGACAGGCCUGGGUGCUUCGGAAGCCCUUUUCACACCCGAGGUCCAUGAAUGAUGUAAUCGCAUCCUCUGAACAUACGUGAAAUGGAUUCUUGUCUGACCUUACCAUCUGGCUCUCGGAGUCUGCGGCCUCUGGAUGUGAGCAGUGGAAUGGGUGAGCAGAGACGUUCAGGGGCACAUUGUGUAGUUCCUCUCCCAUACUCAUAACCUCAUGAGCGUGGAUUGUGAGAGAACAGUGAGGUUAGGGAGGAAGGGGUUGGGUGUCAUAGUUUUGAUAUGCAUACUUUAUUCAAUUGUGAGUUUAUGUGAUUCAUUUUUAAAGUUACAGUUUUUAGCAUCAGUGUUACCAAAUGCUUGAAAACUUGUUCUUGAAAGCCUGGAUAAGCUGUCCCUGAUCUGCUGUGGAUUAUAGCGCACCAGUUGCGUGAACUGGCCUUGUCCAUCUAACCUCAGGUCCAGGCACAAAUUGCUUAAGUAUAGUCCUGAAUGUAUAAUCCUGAGACGCGUCCCAUUUAAUUCUAAUCUAGAUGUUUACACGGGUGUCCUUUCUACUUGAAACCCCCUUUGCUCCCAAAUCUGUGACUCCGUAACCUUCUCCUGACUCAGUUCUCAGCUCAAAGUCUCUACGUUCAAUAAGUUGCCUCUUGUUUUAACAAGUGCCCCUCAAAACCUUUUAUUUUUUUAAAAAAGAAAACAAACUUUUUUUUUUCCAUUUUACAUACUAAUCCCAAUUCCUAAUCCCUCCCCUCCUUCACUUUAUCCCUCACCCCUCCAUCCACUCCACAGAGAGGCCAAGGCACAUUGCUCCGAGAAAGAACCAAGACCCUCCCUGUUAUGUCCAGGCUGAGCGUGGUAUCCAUCCAAAGAGAAUGGAUUCCAAAAAAGCCAGUACAAGCAGCAGGGACAAAUCCUUGUGCCACUGUCAGUGGCUCCGCAGUCUGCCCCAGCCAUAUAACUGUUACCCACACUCAGAGUCUAGCUUGGCCCUGUGCUGGUUUCUUCC